UACGGAGGGUGCAAGCGUUAUCAGGAUUCACUGGGUUUAAAGGGUGCGUAGGUGGGCAGGUAAGUCAGUGGUGAAAUCUCUGGGCUUAACCCGGAAACUGCCGUUGAUACUAUCUGUCUUGAAUAUAGUGGAGGUGAGCGGAAUAUGUCAUGUAGCGGUGAAAUGCUUAGAUAUGACAUAGAACAUCGAUUGCGAAGGCAGCUCGCUACACUAUGAUUGACACUGAGGCACGAAAGCGUGGGGAUCAAACAGG
rnacentral:rRNA from 1 species